GACGAACGCUGGCGGCGUGCUUAACACAUGCAAGUCGAACGGAAAGGCCCUGCUUUUGUGGGGUGCUCGAGUGGCGAACGGGUGAGUAACACGUGAGUAACCUGCCCUUGACUUUGGGAUAACUUCAGGAAACUGGGGCUAAUACCGGAUAGGAGCUCCUGCUGCAUGGUGGGGGUUGGAAAGUUUCGGCGGUUGGGGAUGGACUGGCGGCUUAUCAGCUUGUUGGUGGGGUAGUGGCUUACCAAGGCUUUGACGGGUAGCCGGCUUGAGAGGGUGACCGGCCACAUUGGGACUGAGAUACGGCCAGGACUCCUACGGGAGGCAGCAGUGGGGAAUAUUGCACAAUGGGCGGAAGCAUGAUGCAGCAACGCCGCGUGCGGGAUGACGGCCUUCGGGUUGUAACCCGCUUUCGCCUGUGACGAAGCGUGAGUGACGGUAAUGGGUAAAGAAGCACCGGCUAACUACGUG
rnacentral:rRNA from 1 species